rnacentral:tRNA from 1 species
GGAGGGGCAGUGGCUCAGUGGAACAGAUUCUGCUUUGCAUGCAAAAGGGUCUCGGGUUCAAUCCCCAGCGUCUCCA